UUUUUUUUUCACCUAGUUGUCCAACUCAGCGAAAACAUACUAGUAUUUUAUAUGGGUUAAUAGUUAAUACAUAAUGAAGAGCCGUUCAUUUUGAAGGGUGAAAGUACUCUAAAAUUUAAAUAGCAAAAACUUAAUCGUUACUAAAAUUUAACGAAAUGUGUAGUUGUGGUUGAGGAUGAUGGUGCCGGAGAUGACAGGUGGUGAUAGUGAUGGCGGCUAUAGUUAAGGAUAGGGAUGAUGAUGGUGGUUGAGUACGAUGAUGGUAGUGGUAGUUGAUAAUGGUAAGCGAUAAUAGCAGAUAAUAAUUAAUAUGGAUAAUAGCAUCUUAAUAAAAUUAAUUAGUCUUUGUUAAAGAUCUUAAUCAUAUAGACCUAUUCAGACUCAUUAAUUAGUUGCGAAGUUAAAAUAAACAAAUACACUUAAUGAUAAAGAUCUAAAUGAAUGAAAUUCAUAUUUUAAAAAUAAACACACUGAAUAUUUGCGAUCUGAAUAAUUAAGAUCGACACAUUCUUAAAGUGCAAACAAAUGACGCCUUACUACACUAGAUACAGCUAAUUGGAAUUGUUAUACAUUCCCAAUGGCCUUCUAAAUACAAUGGUUGCAUUAUUUGAUGUACUGAUAGAGCUCGCGAGUAGCUUUUGCAAUGAUCAGCUAAUGAAAAACAUUUCGUCCUAUGUAUAUUCGAAUAUUUUGUUUUACAUGUUUUUAUUACUAUUCCUUUAUGAUUCUGAGAGUUGCAUGUUACUUCCGCAUGUGGAUCAAAUGACAAAAGUACCUACAUGUUGAGGUGCACAAAUCUCAUUGCUGCAAACAUUAGAAUUAUCUUUAGCCAAAUAAAAAAAAAUUAACCUAAAUAUUGGAGUUUUACAAGUUUCACAAAUUUGAUUCGAAAAGAUAAUUUAAAAAUUAAUUAAUUUUAAAAGUAAAAAAAUAUUAUAUCCUUAAAAUAUGCCACUUCAACAGAAAAAUCCACAUAGUACGGACAUGUACGUCACUUCCUGGAGAUAAGAUCGUCUAGAGGGUAUUAGGGGUAGCAAGUGGGUCCGGCCGGACCUUACACGAGCAUAGUGGGCCGGUCUUGUGGGCGCGAUUCCAGGGCGGUCCCGAUCCUUAAACGGGCUAAACGGUCCCGGACUAAACGAUCUUUUUGUAGGAGCCGACUUGGGACCGGGCCCACGAACUCAUGGUUCAGGACUGAACGGGUCGGGCCCGCGGCUAAGUGAGCUAAGUGGGCCCAACGGCAAAGUAGUGAUUUUUAAAAUACAUUACAUAGAAAUUAGAGACAAUUAAAUAUGUUAAAAAAAUACCUAAAACAAUACCUUGUAUAUUUAUUAGGCAGAAUAGCUUAAAUGACACUUAUACUUGUGCCACUUUGUCAUGUCAGUCCUCAAACUUAUCAUUUUGUCAAUUGAACACUUACACUAGUUCAAAUCGUAUAUAAUAAACACUUAUGAUAUGAGGUUACCGGUGCGUGUAAUAUAAUCUCUUACACGCAGGACGCCACGUCAUUACCAGUGUCACAUAGGAAAAUAAACUAUUUAAAAAUAGAAUCUUCUAGAAAACCCUAGCAAUCUGCAAGUCCCUGGCAACACAAAGUAGAGUUUCUCUUUUACAUCAUCCAUAACGAAAUUCUCGUCCAUCAAAUUAACGCUCCAGUAACUCACUAACUCCUUCAUGAAAUUGCUCAAAGCUUUCCCACCAAGAUCAAGCCUUUUCACUCCCUAAUUCAUUGUGAAAUUCUGAAACACGGGUAAGGCAUGAGUAAAUGAAAAUCUACAAUCCACAACUAAGCUGCAUUGGGCUUUAGACACAAUCCCAUAAGGGCGACGAGAUGCCUUAUAGAGAUGGACGAAAGAGGGGGAAUCCGAAACAUAGAGAGCCUUAAAAUUGAAAUCUUCGAACCACACAUACCCAGAAGCUUCAAGCGAGCUUUAACGGCGUAUCUGCUUCUCCCUCUAGUUUUGAUCCUCAAACACAAAUGUUUAUCGCAUUUUCAAGUCUAAAUUUCAAUACCCAGCUGAGUUUUAAUACUAGGUUUCAAAUCACUAGAUUCGUUCUUCGCAAGACCAGCAAUGGAAUUUCAAAAAUUCUCAACAAACAAGCCUUUGAAUCUCCUCUCCAAAAUCCGAAUAAAGAUUCAAAUAGCGAAACACAGCAACAAUAACCAAAAUAAGCCUUUGAAGGCUCAUCCAUUGUUUACAGUAGUAUGGAGGGGAAAAAAAGAUUGGGGGCAAGAAGAUGUCACGAUCCAAAACCUAACAUGUCGUGAUAACGCAUAUCGAUGGUACUAGGCAAGUCGAUUUACCCAAAAUACUUCAGAAAUCAAAUAUAAAAGUAAUUUAAAACUUUUCCAUAUCAUGAAUUUUCAUAAAACCCAAAGUUAAACUCAAAACUGAAUCGAAGUGCGAAAAACUAGCCCCAAACAUCGGGGUGUCACCAAGUCAUGAGCGUCAAAAUAUCAAAACUACUACAACCAGUGUCUAAGUAUCAAUACAAUGCAGAAAGAAAUAUAGAAGGAGAGACAAGGCUCUGCGGACGCUGGCAGCUACCUCGUAGUCUCCGAAACUCGAUCACGCCUGAACUCAACGGUCUCCGUGCUCAAACACACCUGGAUCUGCACAUGAAAUGCAGGGUGUAGUAUGAGUACAACCGACUCAACAAGUAACAGAAAUAAAUAAAGAACUGAGAAGCAGUGACGAGCUAUACUGAACAAUUCAUUUGAUAAUUUUCAAAGUCUAAGAGUAAACAUGAGUAAUGCUAGUAACAUGAGUCGAAUCAGUUGCAUAUUUACCAAGUUCAAGUAAAACCAAAUAUCAGCUAAAUGCAGCAACAAAGGUAAUAGAUGCAACCUCACAGGGUAUUGUCACUCAAAGUCUCAAUAACUCAACACUCGGCUCUCACCCCUCAAUACACACGCUCAAUAGGUACAUGCCUUCACUGGGGGUGUUCAGACUCUGGAGGGGCUCCUACAGCCCAAGCGCUAUAAUCUGCACGGACAACUCACGUGCUGCACGAAAAACUCACAUGCUAUAAUAUCAUAUCAGAAUCCGUACGGAUAACUCACGUGCCGUACGGACAACUCACGUGCUAAGGUACAAUACCUCACAAAUAGACCCUCAACCUCACUCAGUCAUGAACCUCUCUAGUCUCACAACCCUCAGUAAAGAAAGGGAAACAACCCAAAUCAGAAUGCUAUAGUGUAUCAGCAGGGAAAUAACAGAGACUGAGGUAAACAUAUGCAAGAAUUACUAUGGCUGAGUAUAACAACUAUAAGCAGGUACAUAGCCUAAGCAUGAUUUCUAACAUGAAGGACAGUCAAAUUUCUAGUAGACAAGUAAUACAUAUAAGCAUUAAAAGGCUAUUAGACUUUAAGUUUCAUGGGACGGAGCGAGUCACAAUCCCUCACGGUGUACACUCACACGCCCGUCACUUAGCAUGGGUGUCACCUCUAAACAAUCACAUUAUACCAAACUCUGGGUUUCAUACCCUCAAGACCAGAUUUAAAACUGUUACUUACCUCAACCGCGUAGAAAUCCUACUCUGGAAUGCCCUUUCCUCUCGAACCGGCCUCUGAAUACCCCGAAUCUAGCCACAAACAAUACAAUACGAUCAAUAUGGGCUAAAGGAAUAAAUUCCAUAAGAAAAAUACCAAAUUAUAGCCAAAAACCUGAAAUCAGCUCAACCCGCCUCUCCGGACCUAUGUCUCGAAAUCCGACAAAAGUCACAAAACCCGAAAGAUCAUUCACUUACGAAUCUAACCAUACCAAAUUUAUUCCAAUUCGAUAACAAAAUCCCAUUCAAAACCUCAAAUUUCUAACUCAAGAGUUCUUCCUCUUUUUCCCCAAUUUCUCACCCCCCAAUUCACAAUUUAGAUAAUAAAAUCAAAGAUGUAAUCAUGAAAUUUAACCAAAACCAAGUAGAAAUCACUUACCCCGAUCAACUCCAUGAAAAUCCCUUAAAAAAUCGACCAAUUCCAUGUUCUCUGGCUCAAAAUAUGAAAAUGGGCUCAAACCCUCAUUUUUGAAAUUAAUACUGUUUGCCCAUAUUUCCUUCUUCGUGAACGCGAACGCCCUCUCGCGUUCGCGUAGACCAACUUGACUGCCUCCCAGCUUAACUCAUCGCGAACGCGUUCCUUUCCUCGCGAAUGCGAUGCUGUACCAACUCUGACCUUCACGAACGCGACCAACACCUCGCGAACGCGUAGAACAAAAGGAUUGGGGUCCUCAGCUACCUCACUCCUCUUCGUGAACGCGACCCUACCCCCGCGUCUGCAAUGCACACACAGAUCACACCUUCGCGUUCGCGUCCUCUUCUUCGCGAACGCAAAAAAUAAAUUCUCCUCAGCUCACAAAUACUCUUCGCGAACGGGAGGCUCCUCUCGCGAAUGCGUAAGAGGAAACCAGAAGCAUACAACAGCAGAUAACGGCUAUUUCACCAAGGCCAAAAAUGAUCCGUUAACUACCCGAAACUCACCCGAAGACCUCGGGACCUCAACCAAACAUACCAACAUGUCCCAUAACAUCAUACGAACUUAGUCGAAUCUUAAAAUCAACUCCAACAACAUCAAAAACACGAAUUACCCACGGAUUCAGGCCUAAUGAACUUCUAAACUUCCGAAUUUCGCAAACGACGCCGAAAUCUAUCAAACCACGUCCGAUUGACCUCAAAUUUUAUACACAUGUUAAAAAUGACACCACGAACCUACUCCAACUUCUGAAAAUUCAUUCUAACCCGAUAUCAAGAUUUUCACUGCCGACCCAAAAUCGCCAAAUUUCCAACUUCCGCCAAUUCAAGUCUAAUUCUACUACGGACCUCCAAAUCACAUUUCGUACGCGCUCCUAAGUUUAAAAUUACAUAACGGAACUAACGGAACCAUCAAAAUUCAAAUCUGAGGUCGUUUACAUACAAAUCAAUAUCCGGUUGACUUUUCAAACUUAAGCUUCUAAUAAAGAGACUAAGUGUCUCAAUUCACUCUGAAACCACUCCGAACCUGAACCAACCACCCCAAUACGAUAAAAUACAGCUGUAAGGCACAAAAGAAGCAGAAAUAGAGAAAACGGGACUAUAACUCUCGAAACGGUCAUUACAGAAGAAAGGUGGGAUUUUCGGCCCAAUUUUGUGCCUAAUUUUAGUUAAUUCAUUUUUAAUCAAAAUCACUAGUAUCACUCUCUUUACACGUGUGUGUUACACAUAAUUUGUCCACCUCAACUAUGUUAAUGUCUCAUAAGCGCGGUCAAUGGGCAGAGGGAUUUAGAAUAUACGAUUUGAACUAGUGUAAGUGUUCAAUUGGCAAAAUGAUAAGUUUGGGGACUGGCAUAACAAAGUAGCAUAAGUAUAAAUGCCAUUUAGGCUAUUCUGCCAAUUUAUAAUAUAAUUGUGGCCUAAUUUUUUAAUUCAAAUUUAAAUACAAAAAAUUAUAAAAAGAUAUUCAAAGCAAUACCAUGUAAUUUUAUUAUAGCAAUAAAAAUAUGACAAUAUCUUUCUUAGUCUUCCUCCUCUUUAUGAAAUGAGCACAACAAGGUGUUAAUACCACCAUUGAGAAGAAAAAGGAACUAAUCAAGAUGUGCCAAAAUAUAAGUUACAUAAUACAGUACUAAUUUUUGUUCAUACAAGUUACAUGCUAUCUCUUACAAACUUCAUAAAUCCUUCAAGGUUCGAAGGAAGUUCCGUUGGUAGUGGCGGAAGUAGCUUGGUCAUCGCCGCUUCCAUUGAGGUUAAAACUAAGUUGGAGAGGGGGGAGGAGGGGGGAGGGGGUUAUUAAAUGGCUAUUUUUUAAAUAGCCAACGACUAUUUUUUAAACUCCCAACAACUCUUUUUUUUCAAAAGCCAAACAACUAUUUUUUUAAAAAUAAAUAUCCGUUGGGCCCGCCAAGAGAUCAGUCCGGUCUCGGUCUCUUGGCGGGCCAAACGGGCCCGGUACUAACGGUUCCUAGCUAAGAAUCGGCCCACGAGACCGGCACGAGCCCACCUCUAGCGGUCCUAACGGUUCCAGUCCACUUAGCCCGCGGGCUCGGGCUGAUCCCGAGCCCAGACCGGCCCACUUGUCAGCCUUAGAGGGUAUCAAAUAGUCAGGUUCAAGAGGGUAACUAAGAUUACAAAUAACUUAGGAGUUAAGCUAAUAAUUCGUUAAGUUUAAGGAGUUUUUAGCUUUUCUAUCUUAUUUUAAUUUUCACCGGUCUGCCACCAGCAAAUUAAUAUUUCUAACAAGAUUAGUAGAUGACUAAUAGCAUGUUUGUCCAAGCUGCAAAAAUCAGUUUAUUUUGAGAAGUGCUUUUUUCAAAAGUAUUAUUAGUGAGAAGCAAUUUGUGUUUGGCUAAUUAAUUUGAAAAGCACUUCUAAGCAGAAAUUAGUUUUUUGAGAGAAGUUAUUUUUUUUAUGUUUCUCUUCAAAAUCAUUUUUUUCCCUUUCAAAUGCUUGUCCAAAUACUUUAACUUUGUAAAAAAAAAUACUUUUUUUAAAGAAAAAAAAAAUAUAUUUUUAGGAUUGGAGAAGCUUGACCUAACAUGCUAUAAUUAUGAUCCAAUCAAACUCACGUUGAACUCACGUUAAACGUGUACGGAAUAGAUCUAAAUGCUACUCGAUCAAACAUAGUAGUAUUGUUUAAUGAGUAACAUGGGCUUAUCAUAUUAUUAAUUGAUGGAGUACUAGGUUUUUAUCCAUUCUCAUUGGUCUUCAAAGUAGAUAGUUGCACACUUUUAACGUACUAGUACUGUUAUUGUUACAGCUCAUGGUUUGCGUUUCCAAAUAAGCGGAUCCAGGAUUUAAACUCUAUAAAUUUAAUUUUUAAGGUUUUAAUAUUGAACUUAUUAUAUUUUUAAAUUUAUGAAUUCAUAUCUAUUAUUUUUAUAAUUUUAGUGAAUUUUUAUAUAUAAAUUUUUAUUUUACGUCCAAAGUUACAAUUCAAUUGCACCCGUCAUCAAUACUCUACAUCCGUCUCUGCAAUGGUCUAUGGUUUCUCAUAGGUAGGCUGAGAGCUGCCUUUGUGAUUAGAAAUGACGUAACGUACUUCAGAAACCUGAACUAAUAAUUAUAUUAUUAUUACAGAGACACAGUUAAUUGUGUUAUUACUUUCUCUUCCGAUUUAUGUGAACUUAUUUUUUUUUAUUUUUUCAUAAAAAAUGAUCCUUUUCUAAAUUUGGUAACAAUUUAGUUUAAACUUACAAUUAUACCCUUAAUGAGAAGCUUUUUUAACCACACAAAUACUCUUGACUCCUUUUUGACUUGUUUAGGACCACAAAUUCUAAAAGUUUUCAUUUUUUCUUUAACUCCGUGCCCAAUUAAAUAAGUUCAUAUAAAUUAGAACGGAGAAAGUAUUGUACUAGGUUCGCUAGUAUCUAUUCCCGUUGGCUUUAAAAUUCAAAGGUAAUGUAAUGGUUGCAGUAUUUUAAUGAGUAAAAUGGGCUAAUCAUUUUUUAGUACAGUGGGAGACAGUCAGUGUACUACUCCUUCCGGUCCACAAUAAAUGAUCAAUUUGUUUAGGUCACACCCAUUAAAAAAAUACAAAAUUCAAGACAAAAAUAGUUAGUAUGACUAAAUCACCUUUAAUUAAAUGUUACAGCAUAAUUAAUGUGAGGAGUAACAGACUCUUUAGGGAUACGUACAUAAGAAUAAUUUAAAAAAACCAAAUUAAAUUUUUUCUUGGUUAUAUAAAUAAAUACUUAUUUUAGACUAAAAUAAAAAAAUAAAUUAAUCACUUAUUAUAGACUAUCCAUUCCCAAAGGCCUUCCCAUCACAGUCAAUGGUUGCAUUAGUUAAUGUAGAGUGGUAUUGUUACAGCUCACGGUUUGCCUUCCCCAAAUAAUUAAUGGAAACCACUAUGUUAAAAUACUACUCCCUCCAUUUCAAGUCACGUGAACCAGCCUUUUUAAUCUGUUAAAAAAAAAUACAUAUUUUCUUAUUUAGAAAUAAUUUACCUUUAUAUAAUGAUAUAUAGUUACAAAAUAUAUGUUUUUCAUUUUAUACCACAGUUCAAAAGUCUUCUUUCUUUUCUUAAACUUCGUGCUCGAUCAAAUAGAUUCACAUAAAUUUAAACGGAAGGAGUAUAUCGGCAAAGGGCAAAAAGUAAUACUCUUAUUGUCUAAAUAUUGGAUCACCAUUGCUCUAAAAACUAACGGCUGAUAUUUGUAGAGGAGUGACAAGGGAACCACGGGGUGGAGAAGAAAAAAAAUAUAGAGCGGGGGAAGGGAAGAAGGGUGGGGUGGGAUUAUUAUUUUUUUCUUCUAGUUGUCCAACUCAGCGAAAAUAUACUAAAGUACUCCCUGCGUUUCAAUUUACGUGAACCUAUUUUUUUUUGAUCCGUUCCAAAAAGAAUAAUUUUUUUUAACUUUAAAAUAAUUUAGCUUAAACUUCCAAUUCUACCCUUAAUAAGAAGCUUUUUAGGCAUACAAAUACUCUGGAUCUCUUUUUGACUUGUUUGGGAGCACAAAUUUCAAAAUCUUUAUUUUUUCCUGAAUUUCGUGCCAAGUCAAACAGGUUCAGAUAAAUUGAAACGGAGGGAAUAGUAUUUUAUAUGGGUUUAUACAUAAUGUAGAGCCGUUAGUUUUAAAGGGUAAAAGUAAUCUAAAAUUUAAAUAGCAAAAACUUAAUCGUCACUAAAAUUCAACGAAAGGUAUAAGUGGUCUAUUUUAAAAAGUUAAAGGAUAAUUUUGGCCAUUUUCCGAUAUAUUAAAUUGACCUGUUUUGCUAUUUUUCUACGGUUUCAGAAUUGCAUGGUACCUCUACAUGUGGAUCAAUACGACAAGGAAUAAAGCUCAAACGGCUAUGGAAAAUAGGAUAAAUCUGCCUUCCGUUUGAAUUUGGUCCCAACUAUGCUCUCUAAUUUGCCCCUUAACUAUGGAAAUGAAACAAAUUUGUCCUCAGUUUGAAUUUGGUUUCAAGUAUGCUGUGAAAGAGGUCACUAGCCUAUAAAGUUCAAUGUAUGAAGUGUGCGGAGAAAAAGAAAAAGAAAAGAAAAAAAAAGAGGAAAAUUUUUGUAAGAAAAAGCAAAAAAGAGUUCAAAUAAUGUAAAAAGACACACACCUCCUAAUCCUUCUAACUCGUGCUAGUGAAACCAUAGAUGUACUUAAUUGAAAAGAGGGCUAUGUUAUAUAUGGUGUAUGACAAGUGAAUGGGUUGAAAAGCAAAUGCGCUUGAUUUGUGAGUGUAGUGUAUUAAAAUACUUAGGAGGGUUAGUCAAUAUUUCUAAAUGUAUCCUACCCUCCUCUUAACCUACAUUACAACCUUAAAGUCCUAAUUGAUUCUAGAUUUGGCUAGCUUAGAUUAGUAGAGAUAUACACUACAUGCAAGCUUAUGGUACGACCAUGGGAUGCACAUGAAUUCUUUGUGAGAAUGAGUGAAUGUUGUUCAAUUGUGUGAUAUCCUUAAUUUAUGUUCAAUGAUAUAUUUGAAUGUAUGGACUAUUUUUAUAUUCACUCUUUUGUUUGUGGUGAGGGCACUUGGUCUCAUGAUGGAUUGACGAUGUUAUACACUUUCUUUUGUUGUGUGAGUGCGUGAGUUGAAGAUGCUUAGUGGUUACGAGUCAUCUCUUGAGGUAAGGUGGUUGUGGAGAGGUUGCUUGAGUUUUUUGAAUAACAUUGAGUGUACUUGGGCUAGUUUAAAGACGGGAAGAAUGUAAAAUUCGUGUGUUCAUGCUUAAUUGCCGAUAUCGAUCAUAGUCUAAAGGUAGGGUGUUUGAUGGAAUUAAUUGUGAAGUGCUCUUUUAUAGUGAUAGGUACGCUUUGGGGUGUUAAUAUAGUUCCAUUGCUCGAGGAUGAGCAAGAGUCUAAGUGUGGGAUGUUGAUAAUUGGCUUAAUGUAUGCAUAUUUUGAUAUAUAUUGCCUCACAUUUUGCUCAUGUCUCGAAGAUUUGAGAUGUAUAAUAUGACGAUUUGUGCUAAUUUGUGGUAUUUCUAUGUGUAGGAAUCAUUCGAUACAAUUUGGGACGAAAGGGCGCGAAUUGGAGCGAAAUUGAAAAGAAAAGGCAAAAGUCCGUAUUUGAAGGCCACAUGCAUCAUGGGGCGCUGUUUGUAGCGCAAUUUACAGUGUACUGAGAAGUUGAGCGCCAGGGCCAGCGCCCCACGCUGCCCUGGACGCUCAAAACGCAAGUUGUCCUGUUUCGACUAGGACUCGGUUAUUUCUAUCCCAAGACGCCCCCAACUCAUAUAAAAGCCAACCUAAACCUAUUUUGAAGAGUGGGACGUGACUUUGAGAGAGAAACAAAAGUACGAAACACUCGGGAGCACGAGUUUGAGCAAUUCUUCCAUUCUUCCUUCGAAUUUGAGCAAUUCUUCCAUUCUUCCUGUAGUAUUCAUUGGCUUUAUGUUUGAAAUAUUAUUUUUUAUGAUUGUAUGAAUAUGAGUGGCUAAGAACCCUAUUGUUCUAGGGUCAUGGGUGAUACAUGAAUGUUGAUGUUUGAAGUUUAACUUGACGAAUUUGAUUUUAUCAUAUUUGGUUAUUUAUUUAAUUCUGUUUUUAUUAUUAUACUGAGUAGCUAACAGUGAAAUACUAUCUACGAAUCUAGAGUUGAACUCGAAAGUGGGAAUUCUAGAUUGCAUAUAAAAUUAAAUAGAGCAGGUUCUUGAACCCGGGCAUCGGAAAAUGGAUUUGCAAUUAGGAUAGAAAUAUACCUAAUAGCCUUGCUUGGUUGAAAUACAUGAAGUGUAAAUGCAUUCUUGUUAAUCUUAAUUCCAUAUACAUAUAGGCAUUAAGUUAGCUUGAAUAGGCGAGUAAGAACUUAACAGAUUCUUAUGAGUAAUAUCAACUAACAUUCCAGAUAAAUCAAUUAGUCAUUUUAAGCCAAGAAUACAACAUGAUGUGACCCUGCAAUAUCAUCUCCUAUUGAUUGUUAUCCGAAUUUUCUUAAGUGUUGUGGUUGAUUUCUAGUUAUUUCAUUGCUUGAUAGUUUUAGGUAGUAAAUUAGUCACUUAUACAUUUUGUGAGAAAUCUCUUGAAUCGAUAAGUUGUUUGAGUUUGAAUAAGUCAAAAGUUAAUCAUAAGUAUAUUUGUUGUGGGACCACUAUAUCCGUUGUCAAAAAUAUUUUCUUUGACUUUUUCGACCGAUUCGGUUGAUUUUUUUUCCUACCGAUUUCGGUCGGUAGCCAGUUUUCUAGUAGUGGAAGACAAACACUUCAAUUGGUUGGAAUAACAUGUCUUCAACAAAACAAUGAUAGUUGAAGCUUGAAAGCAAUACAACUUGAAACAAAGCAAAUACAACCAUAUCACAAAAUUAAUAGUAGUAGGAAAUAUUCAAACAGUUUUACAAUUGAGAAAGAAAACAGUACCCACCCUACAUGAUCGGGAACUCGAAAUCCAGGAAGGGUGUUUCAAGCCGAUACUUCAUUUAAAAUCUCCGACAACAUUAAUGCAGAGAGUUAUUUAACAAUGCUUGAAUAAACAAAAGAUCGAAAUAGCAUUUCUUAAUUUAUUGCAGAAAACACUAAAACGCCCGCGGUGACACCAUAUCAAACUGAUCAAUGUUCUCCUCAUCACCUGAAGAAAGCAGGAAAAUUAGUAUAUAGUAAAUGACUAACAGGAGAAGAAACGUACGUGAUAUAUUUUUUGUGGUUUUGAAGAAAACAGAGGAAACCACUAAUUAAUUCAUUGACAAUAGUACUCCAUUAGGUAUAUUAUAAGUAUAUAUAUAGUGGAGUAGUAACAUAAAAAAGCAAUAUGAGUUAAAUCGUGGUCGAACCAUUUAAUUAAGUGACUAAAACGAAAAGAGCUCAUAACUGUCAUGGUGGACUUACAAUAACAGAUAUUUAGAAAUGGAGAAGGUGAAAACCUCCCUUGGCAAUAUUCGAUUAUUGUUAAUAGUUUUUGGCCGAAAAAUAGGUCAUCAAAUACUCAAGCAAAAGCGUACUGCAAUGUGGAAGGCUACAGAAGACUUUUCCAAAAGGAGGAAAACAUAAUGUGUGCCCGUCACGAGGGACCUUGGCUGUUUAACCACUUUCUCUCAGUGAGACGUUGGGAGCCCAAGUUCAUUGCCUCCUCCGCGCAACUCACAUACUCCGCGAUUUGGAUCCGUCUUCCCGAACUCCCAACCGAGUUUUAUGAUCUGGAAAUCCUCAAAAGGAUUGGAACGAAAGAGGGUAAACUAUCAAAGUGGACACCUUCACUUCUUCCACAAUACGAGGACGUUAUGCUCGUGUUUGCAUAGAGGUACCACUGGAAAAAACCCUCAACCGCCAUUGCAGGGCCCACAAGUAAGUCUUGUAACUCCAAUCCACCAAUUCCAAAUUAUGUUUCUAAUACAAAUUUGAACUCUAAUAAUACUGGGCUUAUUAACUCCUCUAAUUUGUUUAAUUGUCUAGCCAAUAAUAAUGAAGAACUAGUGGACCCCAUCCCCUCCACAUCUCACCCUUAUGAACAGACUCCACAACCUACGCCAACUAUGCCAAUACACAACAUACAAAAUUGCCACGUUGAUCCCCGAAAUUCCACCGCCCAUACCAGUAAACCCUCCCCUUCCACGUAUAACCCUACUCAAGUCACAUCCAUAGUGGAUCAAAUAAAAUCCUUUUUACCCAAUCAAGACAUACACUGUGCAAGCCCACUAAAUUCUCUAGAAGCCAUCGCUAACCCAGUAGGUUCCCAAAUAUCACCCCUACUUUCCCAAAUAUCACCCCUACUAUCUACAGAGAAUGAUGCAGCCCAAAUACCAAGUUCUCAUAAUACUCAUGAUAUUCCCUCAAGCCCUCCAAAGUCUGAUAGCCCAAAUAUCUCAUCACUGCCCAUUACAUCAAUUUCCUCCUCCCAAACUAAGAUACAUACUACGUUACUGAACUUAGAGGAUUCACAGCACUCCUCACACUCCUUUAUCGCCCUUCACCACCACAAUUGCCCAUACCCAAGCAUUCACCUACAUCACACUCCUCCUCCACCAUACCAUCUCAUACAUCCUCUUCCCUUCACCAUGCAGAAUCCACACCUUCCACUUCAGUAUCGUCUCAUCUACACCUCAUCGGCCCCCCAACCCCUCGCACCAGCACAGUCCUGGCUCGAGAUGGGGCUACUGGGCCAUGCACAGACCUUCGCGUUGGAGAUAAACAAUCAGGACAUCCUCAUCAUGAUACAAAACUCCAUGGACAUUGCUCAAAUCGUAACGGAGAGGAUGAGGCUAGGUUGGGAAACCUAUGCCCAAUACCAAUCUUUUAUCCACCAACCUCUGAUGUUCAAUCCCUACAAUCUCAUCUCACCACCCUUCAAUAUCCCCCAUUACCAGCCUUACGGCCAGUUCACAUGAGGGAGAUGUCGUUUUACCCGCCGCUCUUCCCGGAGAAUCCUCCCACUCCAUGGAUACACCAACACAUCACUCUCCAUUCACACAUGCAGACCCCACCUCCCCUCACCACACCUCCAUCGUCCUCC
rnacentral:lncRNA from 1 species